rnacentral:piRNA from 1 species
UGAGGGAUAGGAACUGCUUUGAAGCCAUU